rnacentral:rRNA from 1 species
AACGAACGCUGGCGGCAGGCCUAACACAUGCAAGUCGAACGCCCCGCAAGGGGAGUGGCAGACGGGUGAGUAGCGCGUGGGAACCUUCCCAAAGGUACGGAAUAGCUCAGGGAAACUUGGGGUAAUACCGCAUAAUGCCGAAAGGCCAAAGAUUUAUCGCCUUUGGAUGGGCCCGCGUCGGAUUAGCUAGUUGGUGAGGUAACGGCUCACCAAGGCGACGAUCCGUAGCUGGUUUGAGAGAAUGACCAGCCACACUGGGACUGAGACACGGCCCAGACUCCUACGGGUGGCAGCAGUGGGGAAUCUUGGACAAUGGGCGCAAGCCUGAUCCAGCCAUGCCGCGUGAGUGACGAAGGCCUUAGGGUUGUAAAGCUCUUUUGCCGGGGACGAUAAUGACGGUACCCGGAGAAUAAGUCCCGGCUAACUUCGUGCCAGCCGCCGCCGUAA